UGAUUUUCCUGUACAGACUGCUGCCACGCUGGCUGGCUAGGUCGCUCUGAUUCCCUGAGAAUAAAAUGAAAUGAGACAAAAAUGAAAGAAGAUAAAAACAAUUCAAAAUUGACCUUCACCCAGAAAAGUCCUUCCUGUUUUCAGUCAUCAGUGUUAAUAGUCAGUGAUGGUGUCUGUGUGCAAUUAAAACAUCUGGAUGAAAAAUGUUUCCAGUUCUCUGACACAGCACACCACACAAUGGGACAAUUGGAAACAUCUGGACACAGAAGAAUGGAGCUAUAAGGAUGUUAAAUCUCAAUGGAGAGCUUGAGGAACUCUGGUGACACCUGGGAGACUGGCAUCUGAUUAUGCCUGUGGGAAUGUUUUAGAUUAUAUUAAGUAACAUGGAAAGACCUUCCAGUUAUGCAUGGCACCAUUUCCUGCGCAGGGAUCCUGGACUGUUCAAAACAGAGACACUGAAAUGAACACAUGUGUUUGUGGUCCUCUGGUCCUUGAAGAGAUGCAAUGUUAUCAGUUGUCUCUUGGACUGAUGCUGCUGUGAGUUCUCCACAAUGAUGAGAUGUAUCCUAGAACUGUCAUCCAAAAUAAACUCUUUCUCCC
rnacentral:lncRNA from 1 species